UACGUAGGGGGCAAGCGUUGUCCGGAUUUAUUGGGCGUAAAGAGCGUGUAGGCGGCCAGGUAGGUCCGGUGUGAAAACUCGAGGCUUAACCUCGAGAUGUCAUCGGAAACCAUCUGGCUAGAGUCCGGAAGAGGAAAGUGGAAUUCCUGGUGGUAGCGGUGAAAUGCGCAGAUAUCAGGAAGAACACCAAUGGCGAAAGCAGCUUCUGGGACGGUACUGACGCUGAGACGCGAAAGCGUGGGGAGCGAACAGG
rnacentral:rRNA from 1 species